rnacentral:rRNA from 1 species
CCUACGGGAGGCAGCAGUAGGGAAUCUUCCACAAUGGGCGAAAGUCUGAUGGAGCAACGCCGCGUGAGUGAAGAAGGUCUUCGGCUCGUAAAACCCUGUUGUUAGAGAAGAAAGUUCGUGGGAGUAACUGUUCACUUUUUGACGGUAUCUAACUAGAAAGUCACGGCUAACUACGUGCCGGCAGCCGCGGUAAUACGUAGGUGGCAAGCGUUAUCCGGAUUUAUUGGGCGUAAAGGGAACGCAGGCGGUCUUAUAAGUCUGAUGUGAAAGCCUUCGGCUUAACCGG